GGCUAGGCUGAUGAUUACCUUUGUGUAGUGUAGUGUGGAAAGAUUAGAUGCAGUCAGUCUAAGGAGAAAGAGAAUAAUGGGCUGGAUUGCUUUGAUUUAUCAGUAUCACUGGUGAUUAUCUGUGUCAUCUUUAGAUAGCAGCGAUAUCGGCAUUGUAGAGCUGCAUGAAGUGAAGUUAAUGAGUACAGAUUGGUGACAUUCAGAAGAAGACAAAAGAAAUAGUCAUUUUUAACAAAGAAAGGUCAAUAACCAGUACAAGACAGCAGAUUGAAAGAUAUUUAAAGGUUAACAGCGACAGUUAAACGGGGUAACUCCAACCCAACCAAACCAGCCACCCUUGAAGUUAACCGGACCACCACCACCACCACCACUGCUACACUUGAUGGUGCCGGGCGACUUCAAUUUGGGGUGAAGACAAAGACAUUGAGAAGAAUCGACUUUAUGUAGCUGGUAGAUUAGAUU
rnacentral:misc_RNA from 1 species